rnacentral:miRNA from 3 species
UCAAAUGCUCAGACUCCUUGGUG